AUACGUAGGGUGCAAGCGUUAAUCGGAAUUACUGGGCGUAAAGCGUGCGCAGGCGGUUUUGUAAGACAGAGGUGAAAUCCCCGGGCUUAACCUGGGAACUGCCUUUGAGACUGGAAGGCUAGAGUAAGGCAGAGGGGGAUGGAAUUCUGCGUGUAGGAGUGAAAUGCGUGAAUAUGCGGAGGAAAACCGAUGGCGAAAGCGAUCCCCUGGGCCUGUACUGACGCGCAUGCGCGAAAGCGUGGGGAGUAAACAGGAGUAGAUACCCUGGUAGACCACGCCCUAAACGAUGUCAACUGUUGGUUGGGUCUUCAUUGACUCAGUGACGAAGCUAACGCGUGAAGUUGACCGCCUGGGGAGUACGGCCGCAAGGUUGAAACUCAAAUGAAUUGGCGGGG
rnacentral:rRNA from 1 species